rnacentral:rRNA from 1 species
UGGGGAAUAUUGCACAAUGGGCGCAAGCCUGAUGCAGCCAUGCCGCGUGUGUGAAGAAGGCCUCGGUUGUAAAGCACUUUCAGCGAGGAGGAAGGUGGUGAGCUUAAUACGCUCAUCAAUUGACGUUACUCGCAGAAGAAGCACCGGCUAACUCCGUGCCAGCAGCCGCGGUAAUACGGAGGGUGCAAGCGUUAAUCGGAAUUACUGGGCGUAAAGCGCACGCAGGCGGUUUGUUAAGUCAGAUGUGAAAUCCCCGGGCUCAACCUGGGAACUGCAUUUGAAACUGGCAAGCUAGAGUCUCGUAGAGGGGGGUAGAAUUCCAGGUGUAGCGGUGAAAUGCGUAGAGAUCUGGAGGAAUACCGGUGGCGAAGGCGGCCCCCUGGACGAAGACUGACGCUCAGGUGCGAAAAGCGUGGGGGCAGCAAAACAGGAUUAGAUACCCUGGUAGUCCACGCUGUAAACGAUGUCGAUUUUGGAGGUUGUGCCCUUGAGGCGUGGNUUCCGGAGCUAACGNGUUAAAUCGACCGCC